UACGUAGGGGGCAAGCGUUGUCCGGAUUUAUUGGGCGUAAAGAGCGUGUAGGCGGUUUGGUAGGUCCGUUGUGAAAACUCGAGGCUCAACCUCGAGACGCCGGUGGAAACCAUCAGGCUAGAGUCCGGAAGAGGAGAGUGGAAUUCCUGGUGUAGCGGUGAAAUGCGCAGAUAUCAGGAAGAACACCCGUGGCUAAGGCGGCAUCCUGGACCGACAUUGACGCUGAACGGCGAAAGCUAGGGGAGCAAACGGG
rnacentral:rRNA from 1 species